GCUCGAUAUUUUUCUGUCAUUCAAGGCUCUUCAACGAUUGUUUUAUUUCGGGGACACAUAUAGGUAGUAAGUAUUGAAUAUAGGCUAUGGAUCGUGAUUUAAGAGAAUUUUUUAUAAAGUUUGGACAUGCAAAUGUUCACAAUUGUAGUAUAUUUACAAUUGUAUAUAUUUGUAAUUUCCUGACAUAUUCAUGUAAAUAUUUAUCACUUAUUUACUGAGACCGAGGGAAACAGUGUGUUUUGUG